rnacentral:rRNA from 1 species
GAUUUCUGGCUUGACAUGCUUGGCCCGCCUAGGUUACUAGGUGUGUGCCGAGACGUGUCUGCCAUCCUUCUAGAAAAUGCUGUUACUCUUCACUGAGCCGACAGCACUAUCUAGAUCUUUUACUUUGAAAAAAUUAGAGUGUUUAAAGCAGGCUUUUGCUAUGAAUACAUUAGCAUGGAAUAAUAAUCUAGGACUUCGGUUCUAUUUUGUUGGUUUCUAUAACUGAAGUAAUGAUUGAUAGGGAUAGUUGGGGGUGCUAGUAUUGGCCGGCCAGAGGUGAAAUUCUUGGAUUCGGUCAAGACUAACUUAUGCGAAAGCAUU